UACGUAGGUGGCAAGCGUUAUCCGGAAUUACUGGGCGUAAAGCGCUCGCAGGCGGUCUUGUAAGUUUGACGUGAAAGCUCCCGGCUUAACUGGGAGAGGUCGUUGAAGACUGCAAGACUUGAGGAAAUGAGAGGGGUGUAGAAUUCCCGGUGUAGUGGUGGAAUGCGUAGAUAUCGGGGGGAAUACCAGUGGCGAAAGCGGCACCCUAGCAUUUUUCUGACGCUCAUGUGCGAAAGCGUGGGGAGCGAACGGG
rnacentral:rRNA from 1 species